GUCAUGGUGGCUAAGUGGUAAGUGCUUGUCUUCUGAACUGAAAGGUCCCAGGUUUGAAUCCUGGUUAAGGCU
rnacentral:tRNA from 1 species